rnacentral:rRNA from 1 species
UAGCGUAGGGGCUAGCGUUGUCCGGAAUCAUUGGGCGUAAAGGAGCGUGUAGGCGGUCCGGUUAAGUCCGCUGUGAAAGUCGGGGGCUCAACCCUCGAAUGCCGGUGGAUUACUGUCGGGCUAGAGUGCGGAAGAGGCGGAGUGGAAUUCCUGGUGUAGCGGUGAAAUUCGUAGAUAUUAGGAAGAACACCAGUGGCGAAGGCGGCUCACUGGUCCGGUACUGACGCUGAGGUGCGAAAGCGUGGGGAGCAAACAGG